CCUACGGGUGGCAGCAGUGAGGAAUAUUGGUCAAUGGCCGUAAGGCUGAACCAGCCAAGUAGCGUGAGGGAAGACUGCCCUAUGGGUUGUAAACCUCUUUUAUGCGGGGAUAAAGGUGUCCACGUGUGGAUGUUUGCAGGUACAGCAUGAAUAAGGCCCGGCUAAUUCCGUGCAAGCAGCCGCGGUAAUACGGAGGGUCCGGGCGUUAUCCGGAUUUAUUGGGUUUAAAGGGAGCGUAGGCCGGUGUGUAAGCGUGCCGUGAAAUUUUGAGGCUCAACCAUGAGGGGGCGGCGGGAACUGGGGACCUUGAGUGCGCGGGAGGCAGGCGGAAUGCGUGGUGUAGCGGUGAAAUGCUUAGAUAUCACGAAGAACCCCGAUGGCGAAGGCAGCCUGCCGCAGCGUUACUGACGCUGAGGCUCGAAAGCGCGGGUAUCGAACAGGAUUAGAUACCCCAGUAGUC
rnacentral:rRNA from 1 species